AGUUAAAAGAAACGUUUGGAAGAUUAUAAAAAAAAAGUUAAAGACAGGUAUUGGAAGAUGAAAAAAAGAUAGGUAAACACAGGUGUGAAAAAAAGUAAAGAAGGCGUUGAAGGUAAAGAAAAUAGGUAAAUACAGGUGUAAACAGGGAAAGAAAAAGAUGUAUAGGGCAAAGAAAACAGGUGUAAAGACAGCUGUAGAAAAAGAUAAAGAAGGGUUUGAAAGUAAAGAUAGGUAUAAAAAGCGGUAAAUAAAGCAUAGCGGCUGAAGACAAUAGGUAAAGACAGGUGUAAAUAGGUCAAGAAAAAAGGUAUUGAAGAUAAAGAUGGUAGAUAAAGACAAACGUGAAAGAGGAAGGUGGAAGAGUGACGGAUGAGAAGUAAUUACCGGUGAGCAGGUGAGGCGGGGAGAAAGUGGAUAAUUAAGGUGGAGGGAGUGGUGGAGGGAGGAAGAGGUGAAGAUGAACAGGUGGAGAAAUAGAAAAAAAAGUGGAGUGGGGGAAAAAGCAACAGGUGGAAAAUGAAUAGAAAGAAAAAUUUGAGUGGAAGAAGAAUACAGGUGGAAGUGGAGGAAUAAUUUUGAAGGGACGGGAAAGAAGAGGUGGAGGAAAAUGAGGAGGAGGAGGAAGUGGAGAGAAACAGGUGGAGGAGAAAGAGGAGGAGGAAGAGAUAAAGAAGGAACAGGUAGAGAUGAUUUUAAAUGCGAAUGACUAAAAGAAAGGAAGAAAAGAGAAAGUGGAUGGAUGAGAAAAAAAUACCCAGUUAAAUAAAAUAAAAUAAAAAAAGUAACACCUAACAAAAAAAAAUAUAAAAAUGAUAGUUAAUACAGAGAACGAGAAGAUAGGUGGACUCUACAAAACAGACAAUACAGAAUGGAAAGGGGCGGGGUGUAGCGUGGCAGCUGCUUGGGUUGGGCACGGCGCAGGGGAGGCAGUCUCAGAGCCUCAGUUUCACCUUCAGCCAGUGUGCAGCGGACAGGUGGGGAGGGCGGGUGUGUGCAACUCUGCCAAGGCCAUCAUUAGCUGAGGGCGGGGAAGGCUGGGCGACUGUGUGGUUUUAGGAGCCUAUCACGCCUAUUCCGGGCCGUUUCCCUCUCUAGAUCUACUCCGUCGAAAGUCAUUAAUGUAAAAGACUGAACCCGGUGCUUAAUAUCGUGCGUGUGACUCGUAAAGUGUUGUAUUAAAGAAGAAAACGAAGGCAGUGAUGGUGUCAGUGUGUGGCUGUGUGCUUGAGGAGGAAGAAUAGGAGGAUGCUGGCUUGUGUUAUCUCGUUGUGGUGGUGUUCUGUGGGUGGAGAUGCUGGUAGUGGUGGGAGUGGUGGUAGUGUGUCAGAGGUAAACAGUUCUCGUUGUGCAAGAACCUCGGAGCAUCUGAUAAGAGUUGUGGAAAUGCGCGGCGCCCCGGGCAUAGAGCGAGAGAUGUAUUUAAAUGUAUUUGUGGAGCGAAGAUAACACGGCUGGAUGCUUUGAAAGGGUGUUACGUGUGAUUUGACCCGAUGUUGUUUUGAAUGAAGGAUGGAAGGAGGAGGAAGGAGGAGGUGUGGAUAAGCGAGGUCAGUGAACGAACGGCGAAGAAGGAGCAAUGAAUAAGAAUGUAAAUAAAGAUGAAUUUGAUUAGUAAAGAAGGAAAAUGCAGUAAAAAAGAGAACAAACUACUCGCCAUUGAAAAGAAUAAUUACAUAGAUGGAAAAUUAGAGGAUAGGAAAGAGGAAAGAUUUAAGAGUUAGUGAGGAAGCAGCGAAGAAGUAAAAGAAAAACAAAAACAAGAAUAGAUAAACAGAACAUAAAUCCGACGUCUGAGAAAAAAGAAAAUGAGAAAAAUUAAAGAAAAAAAUGACCACCGUAAACAGUGAAGACGUAAAUGGAAAACAACAACAACAACAACAACAACAACAACA